rnacentral:rRNA from 1 species
CUGAGAGGACGACCAGCCACACUGGGACUGAGACACGGCCCAGACUCUUACGGGAGGCAGCAGUGGGGAAUUUUGGACAAUGGGCGCAAGCCUGAUCCAGCUAUUCCGCGUGUGGGAUGAAGGCCCUCGGGUUGUAAACCACUUUUGUAGAGAACGAAAAGACACCUUUAAUAAAGGGUGUUGCUGACGGUACUCUAAGAAUA